UACGUAGGGGGCAAGCGUUGUCCGGAUUUAUUGGGCGUAAAGAGCGUGUAGGCGGCCAGGUAGGUCAGCUGUGAAAACUCGAGGCUCAACCUCGAGACGCCGGUUGAAACCAUCUGGCUAGAGUCCGGAAGAGGAGAGUGGAAUUCCUGGUGUAGCGGUGAAAUGCGCAGAUAUCAGGAAGAACACCCGUGGCUAAGGCGGCUCACUGGUCCGGUACUGACGCUGAGGUGCGAAAGCGUGGGGAGCAAACAGG
rnacentral:rRNA from 1 species